UACGUAGGGGGCUAGCGUUGUCCGGAAUCAUUGGGCGUAAAGAGCGUGUAGGCGGUUCGGUAAGUCCGCUGUGAAAGUCCAGGGCUCAACCCUGGAAUGCCAGUGGAAACUGCCGAGCUAGAGUCCGGAAGAGGCGAGUGGAAUUCCUGGUGUAGCGGUGAAAUGCGCAGAUAUCAGGAGGAACACCAAUGGCGAAAGCAGCUCGCUGGGAUGGUACUGACGCUGAGACGCGAAAGCGUGGGGAGCAAACAGG
rnacentral:rRNA from 1 species